UUCUCAUCCUCUCCCUCCGUGAAUACACAGUAGUACACUCUUGAUGGACGUCGAGCACCGACUUCUGUAGUGGUUAGCAUGCCCGAGGAACCGGUCCUCGUCGUGUCAAAGAAGAAGGAGAUCUAUGUAUAGCAGCGUCUUCUUCCAUGGUGGUAGCUCGAUGCAGUGCUAUAACACGAUAACGAAGACAACAAAAUAUACUUUAUGUUACAGUUUUAUCUAACCACAAUAAUAAUUAAACAAUUGCCAUAAUUUUGGUAAUUGUCAUUUAAUUUUAACCUUUAAUUAUGAUUUUUAAAAACGUCUUACGGACAAUAAUUAAUAAAAAAUAUAAGAAAAACUAAACAUGGGAUCUAUUGUCAUGGUUCCUAAUUUUGAACCUACAUAGACAUAUAGAUAUUAGUCAUAGGUAAAAUUAUAUUUUGUUACGAUAACUUAAGUAUCGGAGAGACAUAUAGAUCUGUUUUUGCCCUACUUACGAAGUCUUUUAUUUGUAAAUCAUUCUUUGUAUCGAUCCAAGAUUGGUAUCCUUAUCAGAAGCAUCAUCUUGCGGGGGUAGAAGAUAAGAACAAUUAGUGAAAAAAAUUUAUUAAAGAAGUGAAGAAAUUUUAUUGAAGAAAUGAAAAAUGCUUUAACAUGUUCCCUCUCUUAUUUAUACAUAUUAGGAUAAAGGAUUUUCCCUCGUAAUAAGGAUACCAAUCUUGGAUCGAUGCAAAUAAUGGUUUACAAGCGAGAGACUUUGUGAGUAAGGCAAGAGCAGAUCGUUGUUGCUGUUGCAAUUGCUAUUGCUGUGAGGGCACAGGCGUUUCCUUCGUUCUCCUUAAGUUCACCGACUGUUGGCAGAUCAGCAAAGGCAACGAAGGCUACUGCGGUGAGGAAGAUGAGGAUUGGUCGUGGAGCCUCUUAGGAAUAUGGCUGCAGCGACGAUGGUCGCUGGCCGAAGACAAGGGCGAAGCUUCGCUUUUCUCAACGACGUUGGUCGUUGGCCAAAGGCAAGAGCGAAACUUCGUUUUUUUCACUGUUCUGAAAAUAAUAGAAGAUAAGAAUAAUUAUUGAAGAAGCGAAGAAGUGAAAAAGCUUUAUUGAAGAAAUGAAAAAUGCUUCAAUACAUUAACAUGUUCCCUCUCCUAUUUAUACAAAUUAUGAGAAAAGAUUUCCCUCAAAGAAUAGAGGAUUUUUCUCAAGAAAAUAAAGAGAUUUCCUCGUAUAGUUUGAGGUUCACUGAUCUUGUCGUAAAAGAAGGGAUAUGAAAGGGAUAUGAAAGCUCGAUUGAAGAUUUGUACCGAGGAGCGUCACCAACCAUUUCAAGAAGGAUUCAUACGUUACAUGAAAGCUUGGAAAACGAAUUAGGAUGAACGGGUUGACCUUCCACUUCGGCGUAGGCCGCCGACAACAAAAGCUAAUAAUAAUAAUACAAUAAUAUACUUCAAACUCGCUGAAGUACUUGCAUCAGCCAUUCUUCCUCGUCUUUCGAGUUGGAAAGACGAGACCCUUAUUGUCACAGAAAUAGUGCAACAGCAGACCGAAGAUGAAGUCCGGAACAGGAUGAAGGAGAGUUGCUACGGAGCUGGCGGCGAGAGGAUGUGGUGCAGACGGUCAGGGCCUCCAGGCACGUCUCUCUCUGGACCUGUCUUCAUUCUUCUCCAGCCACUCCUCUCGUGUGCCCAAGGCGUGGAGCUCCCACCGUGGACGACGACGCUGUUAUGCGCUCCUCCUGCAAGAAGAACACCAGGAAGAUGCUGCAUUCUAGCUUCGCUCCUGGCGUUGCAGCAGACCAAGAACAUGACGACGAGCACCACCAGUUCCUUAGACAUGCUAAGAAGCCCUAUGGAAGUGAUCUCUAUGCCAAUACGGAUGUCCAUCAGGAGACUAUGUGUGCAUGCUUAUAUAGAGAGGACACCACACUAAACAGGGCAACCCAGCGAUG
rnacentral:lncRNA from 1 species